rnacentral:tRNA from 1 species
GACCGCGUAGCUCAGUUGGAAGAGCAUUGGACUAGUAUUCCAAAGGUCGUAGGUUCGAAUCCCACCGUGGUCG